rnacentral:rRNA from 1 species
UACGUAGGGUCCGAGCGUUGUCCGGAAUUACUGGGCGUAAAGAGCUCGUAGGUGGUUUGUCGCGUUGUUCGUGAAAACUCACAGCUCAACUGUGGGCGUGCGGGCGAUACGGGCAGACUUGAGUACUGCAGGGGAGACUGGAAUUCCUGGUGUAGCGGUGGAAUGCGCAGAUAUCAGGAGGAACACCGGUGGCGAAGGCGGGGUCUC